AACGAACGCUGGCGGCAGGCUUAACACAUGCAAGUCGAACGCCCCGCAAGGGGAGUGGCAGACGGGUGAGUAACGCGUGGGAACAUACCCUUUUCUACGGAAUAGCUCUGGGAAACUGGAAUUAAUACCGUAUACGCCCUACGGGGGAAAGAUUUAUCGGGGAAGGAUUGGCCCGCGUUGGAUUAGCUAGUUGGUGGGGUAAAGGCCUACCAAGGCGACGAUCCAUAGCUGGUCUGAGAGGAUGAUCAGCCACAUUAGGACUGAGACACGGCCCAAACUCCUACGGGAGGCAGCAGUGGGGAAUAUUGGACAAUGGGCGCAAGCCUGAUCCAGCCAUGCCGCGUGAGUGAUGAAGGCCUUAGGGUUGUAAAGCCCUUUCACCGAUGAAGAUAAUGACGGUAGUCGGAGAAGAAGCCCCGGCUAACUUCGUGCCAGCCGCCGCCGUAAAAC
rnacentral:rRNA from 1 species